GGACUUGGUAUGAUUAUGACCAGGGAUUAUUCGGUAUAAUCAUGACCGUAAUGUUACAAAUGAUGUGGUAAAAGUCCUCAUUGGCCCGUAGUGAAUUAAUGGACUGUUGUUGGCAUGAUCAUGACCAUUGAUGAAUACACAAAUAUCUUUGGCCCGUAGUGCAUGGAUAAUUUGUGGUUGUCAUACUAAUGAAUAUCCUUGGCCGUAGUGCAUGGAUGAUGUGGAUUAUUUAUUAAGUUGAGUCCCAGCGAUAAAAGUGAUGAAAAACCUUUUAAAUCAUAAAAGAUAGUUAUAAUCAUGUGAAUUAAUAGCAAUUAAUUGCUCAUUUAUC
rnacentral:lncRNA from 1 species